UACGGAGGGGGCUAGCGUUGUUCGGAAUUACUGGGCGUAAAGCGCGCGUAGGCGGCUUUGUAAGUUAGAGGUGAAAGCCCGAAGCUCAACUUCGGAAUUGCCUUUAAGACUGCAUCGCUAGAAUCAUGGAGAGGUGAGUGGAAUUCCGAGUGUAGAGGUGAAAUUCGUAGAUAUUCGGAAGAACAUCGGUGGCGAAGGCGCUCUGCUGGACCAUAACUGACACUCAGGGACGAAAGCUAGGGGAGCGAAUGGG
rnacentral:rRNA from 1 species